GACAGAGGGGGCAAGCGUUGCUCGGAAUCACUGGGCGUAAAGGGCGCGUAGGUGGCGAGCCAAGUCCAUGGUGAAAGCUCGAUGCUCAACAUCGAGUCGGCCACGGAUACUGGUGCGCUUGAGCACUGUAGAGGCUAAUGGAAUUCCGGGUGUAGCGGUGGAAUGCGUAGAUAUCAGGAGGAACACCAAUGGCGAAGGCAGCUCGCUGGAACGGUACUGACGCUGAGGCGCGAAAGCGUGGGGAGCAAACAGG
rnacentral:rRNA from 1 species